AUACGUAGGGGGCGAGCGUUGUCCGGAAUGAUUGGGCGUAAAGGGCGCGUAGGCGGCCCGGUAAGUCUGGAGUGAAAGUCCUGUUUUUAAGAUGGGAAUUGCUUUGGAUACUGUCGGGCUUGAGUGCAGGAGAGGUAAGUGGAAUUCCCAGUGUAGCGGUGAAGUGCGUAGAGAUUGGGAGGAACACCAGUGGCGAAGGCGACUUACUGGACUGUAACUGACGCUGAGGCGCGAAAGUGUGGGGAGCAAACAGGAUUAGACACCCUGGUAGUCCACACUGUAAACGAUGAAUGCUAGGUGUAGGGGGUAUCGACCCCUUCUGUGCCGCAGUCAACACAAUAAGCAUUCCGCCUGGGGAGUACGGCCGCAAGGUUGAAACUCAAAGGAAUUGACGGGG
rnacentral:rRNA from 1 species